CCAGUGGAAGAACCUUCCCUAGGGAAGUUGUUUGGUUCAUGUGAAAUUCCUUAAUUUGAAGUUGGUGAUCCAUUUCAGAAUGGAGUCAAUGGAGACAAAGCUCGGGACCUAGCUUUUGAUUGCUUAGAAAGUGCAAAAACUACAUAUACAAAAAACUUGCCAAACUGGGAAGAGGUUGCUGUUGGUAUGGAUCAACAACUAGACAAAGCUUGUAAUUUGACUAGGGAUGAAUGUUCGGAUUAUGUAUCAAGUGCCAGCACUCAGAAUGUCAAUAGCGAGGUGAGUUUCUUUAUUUGAGGACUUUUGGAUUAGGAACUACUGUGGAUGGCAGUGAAAAAAACAACUGGGAAGUCUGAGAGAUAGUGAGAGUCAGGGAUCUUUGCAGGGUGAUGUUUGUGUGGCUGAUCCUGAUCAGUUCUGAAGAGUAGGUGUUUUCAUGGAAAUAGAGUAUUUCAAAAUAUCGUGGCUGAAGAAGUUUAAGGUUUUGAAUUUUCUAAUCUCUUACAGUUUUCUCCGUUGCAAAGAUGAUUUAAUCUUGUAAUAAUACUACCAUUCUCGCUUAUUUGCUUUAUCAACCAUUACAAGAGUACUACAUUUCACGGGUUUUCAAAAGAAACAGCUUUUUCCCCCUCUGUUAUAGCUGAUUAACAUAUAUAUACAAUCAGAAUGGUCUGUCCCUUUUAUCUCCCUAUGAUGUUGGAUCUUCUAUGACCGCCUGUUCUUACGUUGUAUAGUUUCCCCCUUUGCUCAAGAUAUUUUGGCUAUCAAUUUCCAUGGUAAUUGAAUUUCUUAAUCAAUUUUCUGACCGGUGAAUAUGUGGUCGCAGGUCUUGCACCACUAUACGUGCUAUGUUUCCAGUAACUUUGCUUAACAACCUGACUUGCUUUGUGUAUAGAGAGGCUCAGAGACCAGAACUUCCUUUUGUUUCAAUUUAAUUUUUUGAUGGUUUGAUGCUUGGUUGGAUUCCUAACUACUAUUGUUCUUUCUUUUCUCCUAUAUUGUGUAUAGCCAGACGUCAGACUCAGGAGUGGCGUAUAAAUUUAAGAUGGGGCUAGGCGGAUGAGUUUGCAGUGCAUCACAUGAUACUUGGGCGGUAACCUUAUGCUAUAUUGGGGUUGUUGCUGUGCUGAGGUCCUUUGAAUGCAAAGAGGCUACAUUUGAACAGUGAGGAGCUGUUGCAAAGCAAAUGAUGGAAGCUAAUCAGAUUGAGGUUUUGGGGGGCAUUGCGAUGAUUGAAGAUGUUUGAAAAUGUGGUUAAGUCAUGUGUAAAGCAGGAGAUCAUUUUGUCUUCAGAGCUGUGUAUUGUCUCAACUUAUUUGUGUACCGAGUGCGAACUUAGUUGUUUACUUGUGAUGUGGUUGGUACAUCAUGUAAAUGAAAUCAAACAUUAUUUUGGUGCUUUCAAUUUGAUGUUUAGACAGUAGGGAAAAUCAA